UCUUGGUAACAAGAAGCAGUUAUUAUCUUGAGAGGCAAUGUAACACAGUACAAAGAAAAUAGAGUUCAGAUUCAGAUAGACCUGCCUUCUGGAAGUCCUUACUUCUUACAAGGUAGAUACCUUGGAGUGGAAUUGCAAAACAAGAAAUGUUGGACAGGAUGUAAACAAAAAGAAGACUUGUUCACUGCUGAUUCAACUCUUAAUUUAUGGAAACACAGGAGAAGAGAAAAAUAUUAAAUGGAGUUGCUGGGAUGCAAUCAAUUAAAUCUGGAGUGUGGAUUUCUUCAACAAAUCAACUGUAAGGAAGAACAUAGAGAGUUAAGGAAUCCACAGAUCAAUAGAGAGUUAAGAGACUUAUCAAUUAGGGCCUCCCUGGUGGCGCAGCCAUUGAGUGCUG